UACGAAGGUGGCAAGCGUUGUUCGGAUUUACUGGGCGUAAAGGGAGCGUAGGCGGUUGGGUAAGCCCUCCGGGAAAUCUCUCGGCUUAACCGAGAAAGGGCGGAGGGGACUGCCUGGCUAGAGGACGGGAGAGGAGCGCGGAAUUCCCGGUGUAGCGGUGAAAUGCGUAGAGAUCGGGAGGAAGGCCGGUGGCGAAGGCGGCGCUCUGGAACGUUCCUGACGCUGAGGCUCGAAAGCGUGGGGAG
rnacentral:rRNA from 1 species